rnacentral:lncRNA from 1 species
CUUGUGGCUGGAGGCCUCCGCGCCCCGGGCUGGGGUCGUGCGGGAGCUGGGGCCCCGCAGCGGGCCCUGCCGAGCAGCCGGACACGACCGGUGCCCACAGCCCACGGGGGACAAGCCACGCGGCAUCGCUCCUUCCAGGCAGCGCCGUGGCCGCAAAGAAACGUCCCAGCCUCCAGCCCGACGGCUCUGGACUGGCGCACGGGCAGCUGGAACAAGUCCUCUCGGGCACGGCAAAUACGAUGGCCCUCGGCCCGCAGCGGCUGGGCAAAGCAAGAGGAAAAGCCGGGCCCGGGGCUUGCCGCCCCUGCACAGGGUCAAACUCCCAGGCCCUGCCUGGCAGCGCGGGGCCUUGACCACCAGGCCGUGAGGCCGCGGCCGUGCAGGACUGCCCUUGCCGUGGGGCCAGCGCGUGCACGCAGAGAGCGAGCCAAGGGGCCCAGAAGUGAGGGGCGGAGCCAGCCAGGCCCUGUGGUGCACGGUGCUGGGCCUCUCCGUGCGGGUGCUGAGGGCCUGGGUUCAGGUCCCGGCCUCCCCCAUUUUGCAGGGAGAUGCCAUCCUCUUUCCAUGGCGGGGCUGGGCGCUGCGCCUCAAGGGGCCCGCGGCAGCAGGAGCUCCCACCUUCCCUGGUACUCUGGUGGUAAGGGUGCUACCCUAGGUGGCAAAGGUUGUGGGUUCAAGCCCUGGCUGGGCAGGAGCUCUCUGGCCCUUUGCUCCUCAGUGGGUCCCUUGUGUGUGCAAGGGGGCUUUGCUGGGGUGUGGGGGGCUGGGGCCUGGCCCUGGUGACUGUCUGGGGGAGCAGCAGGGGGCUUUUUUUUGAACGUCAGGGGAUUUCCUGUUUUGAAGGCCAAAAAAACCCCAGCCAGCCGCCAGGUGGUUCAGGACCUUUCCAACUGAGCUACAACUUCAAGUCCCCUCCGACUUGCAACCGCGAUCACCCCUGAGUUCCAGCUAGAAGGCAAGCGCCGGAGGGGGAAACGGUUGCGUAGUAGAUGGCAGCCAGGGGACUCAAGCCAACCAGGGACUUGAACCUGCAGCCCCUGCCACCGCUGGCAGUGUCCCGAACCACCCUGCUAAAGGGCCAACCUGACAGCAGAGCUGCCCCACCUCUCCCUUCACCCGCCUGCCCGCUGCCCUGCAGGCAAACAAGCGCCCAGGGGGAAAAGGGAUAGACUGGAAGCACC